GACGUAGGGCGCGAGCGUUGUCCGGAUUAUUGGGCGUAAAGAGCUCGUAGGCGGUCUUGUCGCGUCGACUAGUGAAACCCGCGGCUCAACGUGCGGGCCUGCAGCCGAUACGGGCAGGCUAGAGUUCGGUAGGGGAGACUGGAUUCCUGGUGUAGCGGUGAGAUGCGCAGAUAUCAGGAGGAACACCGGUGGCGAAGGCGGGUCUCUGGGCCGAUACUGGCGCUGGAGGAGCGAAAGCCGUGGGGAGCGAACAGG
rnacentral:rRNA from 1 species